CCUACGGGAGGCAGCAGUGGGGAAUAUUGCACAAUGGGGGAAACCCUGAUGCAGCGACGCCGCGUGAGUGAAGAAGUAUCUCGGUAUGUAAAGCUCUAUCAGCAGGGAAGAAAAUGACGGUACCUGACUAAGAAGCCCCGGCUAACUACGUGCCAACAGCCGCGGGAAUACGUAGGGGGCAAGCGUUAUCCGGAUUUACUGGGUGUAAAGGGAGCGUAGACGGCGCUGCAAGUCCGGAGUGAAAGCCCAUGGCUUAACCAUGGUACUGCUCUGGAAACUGUUGAACUUGAGUGCAGAAGAGGAGAGUGGAACUCCAGGUGUAGCGGUGGAAUGCGUAGAUAUAUGGAAGAACACCAGUGGCGAAGGCGGCUCUCUGGUCUGCAACUGACGCUGAGGCUCGAAAGCAUGGGUAGCGAACAGGAUUAGAUACCCCGGUAGUC
rnacentral:rRNA from 1 species